UUGGUAAAAUGAAUUAUUACCAUUUCUAUUCUAUAUAAACCCUACAACUUCUAGCAUUCGGUGGGUUCACUGAAUUCAUUUGUGCUUAGAUUCGGAAUUGGAAGAUAAGGGCCAGAAGUUUAUGCGAAGUUAUCUGAAAUCGGCAGCUUUAUUUCAAGUGUUCAAAAGAUCAAGAAAUUGCAACCUGGAUGGGAGAUUAAUGAACUAAGAAAAAAUGUACAAGAAUAGAACACAUCUAAGGCUACUAAAAGAAUAUCAACCAGCCAACGUUGUCAUCCAGAGAUUGGGAGGCACGAGUUUCGAUCUCAUCCAUAGAAUUAAUAUGGACUGUAGGAUGACGUUUGAUUUUUUACUAGCAUUAGUAGAUCAUUAUUCUAUCGAGCUAUCGUAUUUUUUCAUUGGAGAAGAGAGGAUAAUUCCGACAUUGGAUGACGUGGCUAGAAUUACGGGGUUCUUCAUUGAUGGCAUGCCAGUAAUGGGGCAUGAUUGCACAGCAGAUAAAUACCCCAAUAUCUGCAACAAAUUAUUGUUAUCUCCGAGGCUUCUUCAUAAGAAGAACAGAUGUGAUAUAAUUCUUAAGAAAUUACUAUAUUUUAAGGACAUUCCCCUAGUUUUGUCGAGGAGGGACUUGACCUCUAUGUUAGGGCAUAUAUCAUUUAUGUUAUUGAAUGUUUUCUUGCUCCCCCAAGGGACCAUUCAUAGGUGCCCUACAUGUAUCUCUCUUUAUUGAGGGGUGUUGAUGCUAUUUGAAAUUAUGCAUGACGAGUUGCAUUAUUAUGUCAACUGCAUCACAGUUUGACAGAAUU